UUUACUGAGAGUUUGAUCCUGGCUCAGGAUGAACGCUGGCGACGUGGAUAAGGCAUGCAAGUCGAAUGACACACUUCGGUGUGGCAUGGCAAACGGGUUAGUAAUGCGUAGGAACGUACCUCUAAGUCAAGGAUAGUCUGGAGAAAUCCGGCAUAAUACUUGAUAGUCUCUUCGGAGUAAAGAUUUAUCGCUUAGAGAGCGGCCUGCGUCCUAUCAGCUUGUUGGUGAGGUAAUGGCUCACCAAGGCUAUGACGGGUAGGGGACGUGAGAGCGUGACCCCCAACAUUGGCACUGAGACACUGGCCAAACACCUACGGGUGGCUGCAGUCGAGAAUAUUCCACAAUGGACGAAAGUCUGAUGGAGCGACGUCGCGUGCGGGAUGAAGGCCUUUGGGUCGUAAACCGCUUUUAACCGGGAAGAAUUUCGAUGACGGUACCGGUUGAAUAAGAGGUUGCUAACUCUGUGCCAGCAGCAGCGGUAAUACAGAGACCUCGAGCGUUAUCCGGAUUUAUUGGGCGUAAAGCGUGCGCAGGCGGCUUAAAUAGUCAGAUGUUAAAUUAUCUCGCUCAACGGGAUAGCUGCAUUUGAAACGUUUAAGCUAGAGUUAAGUAGAGGUAAAUGGAACUCAUGGUGUAGCAGUGAAAUGCGUUGAUAUCAUGGGGAACACCAAAGGCGAAGGCAAUUUACUGGACUUUAACUGACGCUCAGUCACGAAAGCGUGGGUAGCGAACGGGAUUAGAUACCCCGGUAGUCCACGCCCUAAACGUUGCACACUCGUUGUUGGGAGAUUCGACCCUUUCAGCAACUAAGCUAACGCGUUAAGUGUGCCGCCUGGGAAGUACGGUCGCAAGACUAAAACUCAAAGGAAUAGACGGGGAUCCGCACAAGCGGUGGAGCAUGUGGUUUAAUUCGACAAUAAGCGAGGAACCUCACCAGGGCUAGAUAUCCAGCUGCAUUCUGAUGGAAACAUCGGAAGCCUUCGAGGGUGCUGGACAGGUGUUGCAUGGUUGUCGUCAGCUCGUGCCGUAAGGUGUUCCAUUAAGUUGGGUAACGAGCGCAACCCCUACUGUGUGUUACAAGUGUCACACGGAACUGCCCCGCCCUUUGGACGUAAUUUAUAAUUGCGAACAAAGGGCGGGGAGGAAGGUGGGGAUGACGUCAAAUCAGCAUGGCCCUCGACGCCCUGGGCGACACACGUGCUACAAUGGCCAGUACAACGGGUUGCAAAGUCGUAAGACUAAGCUAAUCUCUAAAAACUGGUCCCAGUUCGGAUUGAGGUCUGCAAUUCGACCUCAUGAAGUCGGAAUCGCUAGUAAUCCCGAAUCAGCCAUAUCGGGGUGAAUACGUUCCCGGAUCUUGUACUCACCGCCCGUCACACCAAGGGAGCUGGUAGUGCCUGAAGGUCCCGCCCUUUUGAUAUUAGCAAAUAGUAUCAAGGGGGCGGGAACCACGGCAAGAUCGGUAACAAGGGUGAAGUCGUAACAAGGCAUCCGUAGCGGAAGCUGCGGAUGGAUCACCUCCUUUCUA
rnacentral:rRNA from 1 species